rnacentral:lncRNA from 1 species
CACCUAGUGUGAGCCACCAGCCUUACGAGUGAUCCAUGGCCCGCUUCACACUUAGCAAUGCUAUAGUGCUACAGCCAUCUCACUCCUCCGGCUGAUCCACUCCGCACUCCACGAGUACUUACACUCGCACGUCGUACGCCUCUCUAGCGCCCUAUUCCAAAAUCUAGCCUUAGGCACUUUUGCCUAGGCACGCGAUCACACGAGCACAACUCAGUCACCUCAGUUCGAGGCCAUAACUUGAUAACCGACCAACCACUGUCUCAACAGUGAUUCUACUCUCGCCGCUCAGUCUACCGGGG